AGAGUGGUUCAGAGGAGGGAAGGUGCUACUUUAGGAGGCUGAGAAGAAGAAGUCAGAGACUCUAGGGGUAGAAGGGAGGGAGGGAGUGGGGCUCAGAGGCACCGCUUGCCUAGCGUGGAAAGGCUCAUCUCUUCGGAGCUUUAUGGGGUUUUGUCAUCUAUUUGUUUAUUUUUUUCUUUCUGGUUUUUUUUUAAAGAUUUAUUUAUUUAUGUAUAUAAGUACACUGUAGCUGUCUUCAGGCAUACCAGAAGAGGGCACCAGAUCCCAUUACAGAUGGCUGUGAGCCACCAUGUGGUUGCUGGGAAUUGAACUCAGGACCUCUGGAAGAGCAGCCAGCGCUCUUAACCGGCUAAGCCAUCUCUCUCUCCAGCCCCUUAUAUUUGUUUGUUUAUAAACAGUGUAACCCUCACUAUGUAACCCUGGCUGGCCUAGAUCUGAGAAAUCUGCCUGCUUCUGCCUAACCCUUGCUGGGUUAAAGGUGUGCAUCACCACACCUGGUUUUUUACAUUGAGGUGUGUCAAAGUCACAUGCACGUGGAUACCCAAGGCGUGCAGAAGAAAGUGUUGGACCCACUAGAACUGGAGUUGCAGACAGUGGUGAGCUGAGCCAGUGGCUGGCAGGUUACUGGUAUGCAUCACCACCGCCCAGCUCCUGUAUGGUUGUGGAUCUAAGUGUUGCGGCUCAGAAGGAAAAGGCUUCCGCUACGGAAAUGGACUGUGCAGGGGAAGGUUUCUCCAACAAAAGUGUUACAGCCCUGCUCAGGUACGUAUGUGCAUCCAUGAAUGUCAGGUUGGAAGACAGGGUGAGAUCUAGCAGUGGAGUUAGACCCUUGUGAGGUACCAUGGAGAUGCUGGGAGCCGAACCUGGUUCUUUGCAAGAGCAACCAAUCGUCUUGACCACUGAGCCAUCUCUUCAGCUCCCUCUUACUACAUUAAUAUUACAUUAUGUUUCUAUGCUUCUA
rnacentral:lncRNA from 1 species